CUCUCGGUUCCGGCAUGGCAGUGGGGAAGAGUACGGAAACCAGGCCGAGGCAUCAGAGCAGGUGUCUGCCGAGCGCUCCCUGCUCGCUCAGCAAAAGGCGAAGCAGCCACAUGCGUCUGUCACUUAACCUUGGGGGCAACUUGCCAAGGAGGUGGUGUCAUUGAACCAUUUUCCAGACGAGGAAGCUGAGGGAGAGGUGGCUUGCCCGAGGUCACACAGCUAGUGGGAGCCAGAGCAGAGGCUCAACCCAGGCCGCCUGAGCUGCAGUGCCUCUGAAGCCAGGAAAUCGUACGUACAGAAGGCGGCGCGGAGGCGGCAGCGGGCAGGUUUUUAAGAUGGCUGCCAGGGGUACACCCUUACAGGUCUCGUCCCUUCAAGUGGGCGGGACUCAGAGUAUGAUGAGACGUCACUCCGUGGAUAGGUUACAUGCGACGGCAAGGUGAAGUGACCCGGCAGAUGUGACCGAAGUCUCUACUUGGCGGCCUUUAAGUUCGUUAAAAGGGAGAUGGUUCUGGGGGGGCCUGACCUAAUCAGGUGAGCGCUUUAGCUGAAAAGCCUAGAAGUCAGAGAAGAAAAAAGUCAGAGAGAUUUGAAGCAGCAGAUACUCCUCUGUUGACCUUGAGAAAAUAAGCUGCCAUAUUGUGGGGGGGGGGGGAAUCACAUGGAAAGGAAGGGCAGGUGACCCCUAGGGGUUGAGGGUCUUAGUCCUACAACUGCAAGUUGCUGAAUUCGUAUGACAACCAGUGCAUUGGGAAGAGGGACCCUGAGUUUAUGACGCGAGAGCUAUUGUGCGAGGUCAUAAAGAGCAUGUGGUCACCAGUUGACCUUCAGGCUGGUCAGCCAAUGGACACUCAUCACUCCCUCCCCCGUCCUUGGACGGUACAUUCUGCUUGCCUCCCCCAUUCCCAGAGGCUGCCCCAAAGAUACAGCCUUGAGAUAGCUUGUGUUGACAGCCUGUGGCUGGUAUGUGUGAUUGAACCCAGUUAAGGCCUCUAUAUAAAGCUUUGAGAUUUGGUGGGGGAGUGGGGAGAUCCGCUCGUCUCGGGGUGCCCCCUUGCUCAUUGGAACUGCCACCCACCAAUCUGGGGUGGUAUCCUUGUUUCUUCGCCCUCUCCGUGCCCUUCAAGUGUGGGGGCCAGAUUCAGAUGGCAUCCGAGGAGCUCCCAGCCCUGGCUGCCACCUUGAUUUCAGCCUAGUGAGACCCUGAGCAGGGGACCCAGCUAACCUGGACCUUGGCUCUCGACCUUUGGAAACUGCAAGGAUGCAGCCAGAAGACAGAAAGGGAGUCCUACACAUCAAAAGUGGAAGCGAAAACGUAGCAAUGACGUCCUUUGAACAGACACCCUAAUCAUCUUUCCGAGGCUGCGUGCCGGGUUGCCACGGGGCAUGUGUGUUAAGAAUGGCACCCUCUGCUGCUUCUGUUCCGGCAAGUCACAGCUUCAAAGCCCCUCCAUGUGCUCGUCAAGACCCAGUCUCACCAGGCAGAAGAAAGGACUCUUAAGGACUCCAGGAUGCUGUGUUCUAAGCUGGAAGCAGAGUCCUGCUGUCACAAAUGACAGCAUGAAUGGCCCGUCCUGACUGACGUGUGGCCCCACCGAAUCCCCCACACAGCCCCGUGAGACAAGUGGGUGUUUGCCUUACUUCACAGAUGAAGGAAAUGAACCUCACGAGGUUGUGAUCUCAUGGCUUCGUGGGUUUGAGCCCCAAGUCGGGCUCUGUGCUGACAGCAUGGA